rnacentral:rRNA from 1 species
GACGAACCGUGCGAACGUUGUUCGGAAUCACUGGGCUUAAAGGGCGCGUAGGCGGGCUGUUUAGUCGGGGGUGAAAUCGUUCGGCUCAACCGGACAAGGGCCCCCGAUACUGGCAGUCUCGAGGGAGGUAGGGGUUAGUGGAACUUCCGGUGGAGCGGUGAAAUGCGUAGAUAUCGGAAGGAACGCCGGUGGCGAAAGCGGCUAACUGGACCUCUUCUGACGCUGAGGCGCGAAAGCUAGGGGAGCGAACGGG